GAUGAACGCUGGCGGCGUGCCUAAUACAUGCAAGUCGAGCGAACAGACGAGGAGCUUGCUCCUCUGACGUUAGCGGCGGACGGGUGAGUAACACGUGGAUAACCUACCUAUAAGACUGGGAUAACUUCGGGAAACCGGAGCUAAUACCGGAUAAUAUAUUGAACCGCAUGGUUCAAUAGUGAAAGACGGUUUUGCUGUCACUUAUAGAUGGAUCCGCGCCGCAUUAGCUAGUUGGUAGGGUAACGGCUUACCAAGGCAACGAUGCGUAGCCGACCUGAGAGGGUGAUAGGCCACACGGGAACUGAGACACGGUCCAGACGCCUACGGGAGGCAGCAGUAGGGAAUCUUCCGCAAUGGGCGAAAGCCUGACGGAGCAACGCCGCGUGAGUGAUGAAGGUCUUCGGAUCGUAAAACUCUGUUAUUAGGGAAGAACAAAUGUGUAAGUAACUAUGCACGUCUUGACGGUACCUAAUCAGAAAGCCACGGCUAACUACGUG
rnacentral:rRNA from 1 species